rnacentral:ncRNA from 1 species
UAAAGGUUUGGUCCUGGCCUUCCUAUUAGUUGUUAGUAAAAUUACACAUGCAAGUAUCCGCACACCUGUGAGAAUGCCCUCUAAAUCACAAUGUGAUCAAAAGGAGUAGGUAUCAAGCACGCUCUUUAUAGAGUAGCUAAUAACACCUUGCUUUGCCACACCCCCACGGGAAACAGCAGUGAUAAAAAUUAAGCAAUGAACGAAAGUUUGACUAAGUUAUGCUAACACAAGGGUUGGUAAAUUUCGUGCCAGCCACCGCGGUCAUACGAUUAACCCAAACUAAUAAGCAACGGCGUAAAGCGUGUUAAAGACAAUAUUUACCAAUAAAGAUAAAACUUAACUAGGCUGUAGAAAGCAAUAGUUAAAGUUAAAAUACUCUACGAAAGUGACUUUAUUAAAUCUGACACACGAUAGCUGAGACCCAAACUGGGAUUAGAUACCCCACUAUGCUCAGCCCUAAACCUAGAUAACUUAUAAACAAAGUUAUUCGCCAGAGAACUACUAGCAAUAGCUUAAAACUCAAAGGACUUGGCGGUGCUUUAUAUCCUUCUAGAGGAGCCUGUUCUAUAAUCGAUAAACCCCGAUAAACCUCACCACCCCUUGCUAAUUCAGCCUAUAUACCGCCAUCUUCAGCAAACCCUAAAAAGGAGAAACAGUAAGCACAAGUAUUAAGCAUAAAAACGUUAGGUCAAGGUGUAGCUUAUGGGGCGGGAAGAAAUGGGCUACAUUUUCUAUAACUAGAACAUCAUUUAUUAAAACGAAAGUUCUUAUGAAACUAAGAACUAAAGGAGGAUUUAGCAGUAAGUUAAGAAUAGAGUGCUUAACUGAAUUAGGCCAUGAAGCACGCACACACCGCCCGUCACCCUCCUCAAGUACCUAAAAACAAGAUAGAUUCCUAAUCAUUAUAUACUCAGUAUUAGAGGAGAUAAGUCGUAACAAGGUAAGCAUACUGGAAAGUGUGCUUGGAUGAAU